rnacentral:tRNA from 1 species
GCCCGGAUGGCGGAACAGGCAGACGCGAUGGUCUCAAACACCAUUGGCCGCAAGGCCAUGCGGGUUCGAUUCCCGCUCCGGGCA